rfam:Arabis alpina cultivar Pajares scaff_72951_1_contig_5, whole genome shotgun sequence.
CUUUGUAUUCUUCCACAGCUUUCUUGAACUGCAAUCUUCUUGAGAUUGGUUUUUCUCUCUUAUGUAUAUUUGCAUAAACAGUGAUUUCAAUUCAAAUCGUAUCUGUUCGAUUGAUUUGCGGUUCAAUAAAGCUGUGGGAAGAUACAUACA